AUUCAGCUGAUGAGUCCCAAAUAGGACGAAACGCGCAUCCUGGAU
rnacentral:hammerhead_ribozyme from 1 species